rnacentral:rRNA from 1 species
GAUGAACGCUAGCGGCAGGCUUAAUACAUGCAAGUCGAGGGGCAGCAUGAUUGUAGCAAUACAAUUGAUGGCGACCGGCAAACGGGUGCGGAACACGUACACAACCUUCCAAUAAGUGGGGAAUAGCCCAGAGAAAUUUGGAUUAAUGCCCCGUAACAUAACGAUGUGGCAUCACAUUGUUAUUAUAGAUUUUUCGCUUAUUGAUGGGUGUGCGGCUGAUUAGAUAGUUGGCGGGGUAACGGCCCACCAAGUCUACGAUCAGUAGCUGAUGUGAGAGCAUGGUCAGCCACACGGGCACUGAGACACGGGCCCGACUCCGACGGGAGGCAGCAGGAAGGAAUAUUGGACAAUGGACGCAAGUCUGAUCCAGCCAUGCCGCGUGAAGGAUUAAGGUCCUCUGGAUUGUAAACUUCUUUUAUAAGGGACGAAAAAAGGCUUUUCUAAGUCGUCUGACGGUACCUUAUGAAUAAGCACCGGCUAACUCCGUGCCAGCCGCCGCCGUAAGAC